rnacentral:lncRNA from 1 species
CAGGGAGUGCAGGAACACCCCCAAACUGUGCACAAAUUGAGCAUGUUUGUGCAUUCUUCAGGGGAGAGGGGCCGUGGGCUUUCCUCCGGUUUUCAGAAGUCCACGGCCCCCUAAGGUUGAGAACUCCCUCUUCAAUCAUAACUGAUGUUUUUUUAGUUGCAUACUUGGUACCAUGCAGACCCUGUCUUUAUUUACAUUUUAGAUAUUUUGUUCAUUGUGGGGUUUUGCAUUAAUUUUGAUACUUUUAAAAAUAUUUUAAAAGUAAAAAAUUAAAAUAUUAUUUUGAUUACUUAGGGGUUUGGGGCACUGCUUUGGGCAAUUUACCUCCGUUGCUGAGUUUUCUUGGCAUCUCCUGGUAUGCUGCAUCUCUGCAUGUGCCACACCCUAGUCCAGACCCUGACCCACACAGUGCUGGGGUUUAAGGGAGGCCUGCUUUUUUCUCUCCAUUUACAGAUGGGAAAGCUGACAUAAACGGGUAGGUGGUAGAGGUGGGAUUUGAACCCAGGUAACCUAACUCCAAACUUCUGCAUCUUGUCAUAAGGAUCCAAAUCUUAGGCUUUAAGGGGUUCUGUGCAGAUCCUCAGCAGCCUCCCCAGCUUCAGAUCCGGCCUCCUGAGCUCCAGUCUCUCUGAUACCUGCACCCAGGCUCAGGUGCAGGCCAGAGCUCACCUGACUCUGGUGAGCUGCUCUGCCCUACACCGGGAUUGCAGCACACAUCACAUGGCGCUGUCAUUGUCAGAUCCAUCUCUGUGUCCCCACACCCAGCCUGACACAUGGAGCCUGGGAUACAAUAGAUGCUCAAACCGUUGGGACUAACAAUUUGUACCUGGCCUUCGUGAGACCCCUGGAGGGAACUGCCACUGGCGCUGGUUUCGUAGCAAGAAUAUACCUCAAAUGACCAAACAGGAAUGAAAAACUUCAGAUGGUUUAGGUGCCAGUGGCUUCCGAAUAAAACAGCAUUCUUGAAGUGAACAGCUGAUGAGGACAUGAAAUAUUAUGCCAAAGCUGGCAUCACACUGUUCUUUUUCCUGGAUGAAAAUCUCUCUGAGAAGCAUUUGCUCUUAACUUUGGUGUCCUGGGGACUGCUGCCUUAUCCCAGGAAGCCACCCAGAGUCUUGGAUGUGUGGGAUCCUUAGGACUUCAUGGUAAACCUGCUCUAGUCCCUCGGGUUAGUAAAAUGAAGCCCAGGACAUCUGAGAGCCCCCAGCACUUCCAUAGAAAUGGACCAAAAUCCCUUCUCCCAGGGGGAGAAACCUGGAAUAAGCUCAAGAGGACAGACGGCUAAAUUUUCAAGAAUCGUGUGAGCUGCUGUUAAACAAGCCAUUAUUAAAACUUUAAUUGUGUAAACUUACAAUUAGGUCAGUUAUAUUAAAAGUAAAAGUGAUACAUACCCCAAACUCAUCUCUUUCAAGUUAUUUUACUAUAUUUUACUGUUUUCUAUAGGCUUGAAGUUAUUUACAUCUACUGUAAGUGUGGGGGUGGAAAUUCAAUAUAAUGACACGCUACCAAGCACCUCUUCUCAACUUGGUGUUUAGUGACCUCACCAAGGUAGCUUCAAACAGGCUGUGAUGGGAGUAUUUACACCUCAGAAAUUAGCAAAUGCUAUUAAUUAGGGCUCUUUUCCCCCCAGAGACCCUGGUAUUAAGCAUUUAUUAGCACCUGGGCACAGUGGCUCACGCCUGUAAUCCCAGCACUUUGGGAGGCCGAGGCAGGCGGAUCACCUGAGGUCGGGAGUUUGAGACCAGCCUGACCAACAUGGAGAAACCCCGUCUCUACCAAAAAUACAAAAUUAGCCAGGCAUACUGGCGCAUGCCUGUAGUCCCAGCUACUCGGGAGGCUGAGGCCGGAGAAUCGCUUGAACCUGGGAGGCGAAGGUUGCGGUGAGUUAAGAUUGAGCCAUUGCACUCUAGCCUGGGCAACAAGAGCGAAACUCCUUCUAAAAACAUUUAUUAGCUCACACUUCCAUCUCUUACCUAGGCCAGUACUGUGGACAAUUCAGAAGCAGCUCCCUCCCUCCUUCUCCACUGGAUCUACAGUCGAAUCCCUUGAGCAUAGACCCAGAUCUUGCUCAAUUUGGGGUCAUGAUUUGGUGCCGUGGCCUCCUCAAAACUUCCUUCUUCCACAGCAUCACACAUUCCAGCUACACUCAGCUCCUUGCAGUUUCUUAAAUAAAAUACAGGUUUUCCCAUUCCUCUGGUGCUUUGCAUAUUAAUUUCCUUCUUUGGCUAGGGUAGGGGGGAUGUUUUUUCUCUCCUUUUCUAGAUUUUUAUUCUGCAAGAGUCAGAAAGUAUCUCCUCUGGGGAACCUUUCUUAAAUCCCCCACACCUGCCUCAUCCCACCCCACUGCAGGCUGCAUAUAGCAGUGUGUUGGUAAAUAUUUAACAGCCAACUUUCUGAAAAGGGAGGGAAAAAGUCCUUAUUUUUAGCAUCUGCCAAUUUCCAUGGUGUAAAGAUGCCCAUCGUGGCCAAUUUUGAGCUGACAACAUGCAGUCUUUGAGAGUAAAUUUGGGAAGAGGCGUGCCAGCUGGUCUGGGCCAAUUCCAGCACAUCACUGACUGGAUCAGAUGUCUUUUCUGUCUCACAGCAGCCACACCCCCAUACAGCCCUCAUAAUACAGUGCCAUGCCAAGCCAUGUUGGAGCCUGAAGCAAAAGGAAAAAUUAAUAACACUGAUCCUGUCUUCAUUUAAAAGUUUGAUCUCGGCUGGGCGCGGUGGCUCAUGCCUAUAAUCCCAGCACUUUGGGAGGCUGAGCGGGGUGGAUAACCUGAGGUCAGGAGUUUGAGACCAGCCUGUCCAACAUGGUGAAACCCCGUCUCUACCAAAAAUACAAAAAAUUAGCCAGAUGUGGUGGCGCGCGCAUAUAAUCCCAGCUCCUUGGGAGGCCAAGGCAGAAGAAUCGCUUGAACCUGGGAGGCGGAGGUUGCAGUGAGCCGAGAUUGCACCAUCGCACUCCAGCCUGGGGCACAAGAGUGAAACUCCGUCUCAAAAAAAAAAAAACGGUAUUAAAAUAUUAUUUAUCUUGUUUACUGAGAUUUUGGAUUUUGGCACCACACUGAAUUUGACCCUGAGGUAAGUGUCUUAUUCACCUCUUCUCAUCCUAGUCCUGACCUAAUAGCCCAUAUCACACUGUUACAAUUAAUUUCAGUAUAGCUGUCUCCCCCACCAACUUGUGAAGUUUAAGGACAGGAAUCCAUUUUUGUGUUCCUAGGACUUGGCACACAGUAGGUGCUUAGUAACUAUUGUCCAGUGAGGAAGUGGAUGAGCAGAUGGAUGAACCAAUCACCCAGUUUCUUUGCCCACAAAAUAAGACACACUGAUGAAAGUCAUCCUUGGCUAUUAACCAGGGACAGGUGUUAGUUUUUGAGUUUUAGCUCUUCCAGUUCAGCAAAGAUUACUCUGCCCCUGACCUAUGGAAGCCAGCUCCUGUGCUGGGCAUUUUGACCAGGGCUGAUCUGCAGACGCCUCCAGCCUGGGGAAACAAUGAAGGGAAAAUGAGUCUGGAAAGUGGAGACUCCACCAGGACCAGGGGUGAGAAGUCGCAGAGAGGCAGCCAUCCCUGAGCCCCCAGGCCUCAGAGCUCCUGCCUCUGGAUGAGUCCUAGGAGAUUUCCAUUUGGCAAGGGCAAUGGAAAGGAGAUCCAAGCACUAGAAACUUCAGGAUGGCUUCCAAGUGUCAAAUUUGAUGGGUCAGCUGCCGUCUGAGGAUACCAGGACUUGUUUCUGUGUGUGGUCACUGCCUCACUCUGAAGACCACCAAAAAAGAGAUUGUCUGGAGAUGUGGAAUCAUGGGCUUUGCAGACAUCUCACUGGACUCUGGUCUGCAUGGGCGUGGACGUUAAGAGGCUCUGUUUACAUAAGAUUGGCCGUGGCAUCUGUUUUUUAAGCACUUGAUAUCUGCCGGGUCUCCUGUAAAGAGCUUUGCACAUAUUAGCUCAUUGAUUACUCACAAAAUCCUCAGAUGUAGACAUUAUUCUGCUUCUUUUACAGAUGAGUAGCAGAGAAGCUGGCAACCUGCCCAAGGUCUCACAGCUGGUAACUAAUGGAACUGAAACACUAACCUAGAACCAUCUGAUUCUAGAGCCCAUGAUCUUAACCACUCUAUGCAAAGAAAAGGAAUUUCGAAGAUGGGCCCCUUUCCAGCACUAGUGCCUGUAAACACCAAAAAUAGAGGUGGGAUUUGGCAGAUGCAGUCAUUUUUGUCCUUCUCUGAGCUGGCCUUGUCCUCUGCUCUCCGAGCCUGUCCAUCACAGAAGCUCCCAGGGUCUCUCCCCCUACCACUCAUCCACUUCUCCAGCCAGUGUCCACAGGGGAGUUGAAUGUCUCUAAAGGGAAAUUCUUCCACUCAAAGACACUCAUCUCAUUUGGAGGAGUCAGGAGAGGAGAAGGAAGUGAAGAAGCAGUGAGCAUCUCUCAUCUGCCAAGCUCUAUGCACACAUUAGGGGUCCUUCUCAUCCCAGGACGAGGGGGCAGGUGUUUUUCUCAUCCUUAUAUUAAGGACUUGCAUUGUUCAAUAUAGUAGCCACUAGUCUCAUGUAGCUACUUAAAUUUCAAUUCC